rnacentral:rRNA from 1 species
ACGUAGGUGGCGAGCGUUACUCGAAAUCACUAGGCGUAAAGCGUAUGUAGGCGGUUGUUUGAGUUUAUGGUGAAAUUUCCAGGCUCAACCUGGGAACGGCAUAGAUACUGUAUGGCUUGAGGGUUGGAGAGGGAGACGGAAUUCCAGGUGUAGCGGUGAAAUGCGUAGAUAUCAGGAGGAACACCGAUGGCGAAGGCAGUCUCCUGGCCAAAUACUGACGCUGAGGUGCGAAAGCUAGGGUAGCAAACAG